UCUACCCCAAUCAUCCAAACCACAGAAUAUCAUUCCUAAAAUAUCAUUUUUAACCCCAAAUUGAAAUCAUCCUCCCUUUCUCUCAAGUACUCCAAGAACAAGAUUCAAGUUUCCUUCUCUUCCAUAGAUCAAGAAUUCAUCCUCCUAAGUGAAGAUCUUCAAGGAAAGAGUCAAGAUUCGGGUUCCAUCUUUCAAAUUUUAUAAUCUAAGGUAUGUGGAACUACUCUAAAAAUCUUGGGCAUAAGUUUAAAUGUUUUAUCAAGAUUUAAGAUCCCCAAUUAUGAUUUAUAUGAAGUUUUGAUAUGAUUUUUUUGAAAAGUAUGAAUCAUGGGACUGUUUUGAUGAAAACAACUGUUGUCUUGAAUCACUUUUCAUGGAAAUUGAAUUAUGACUAGAUGUAUAUAUAAUUUUGUGUAUUUUUAAGAUUUAUUGAGAGAAUGAGUAUGAAUUCCCUUUCUUGUUGCAAAGUAAAACUUAUAUAAUCAUUAUGAAUGAUUUGAAAUACAUGUCUUAAGAUUUGAAAGUGAUCUUCUCAAUUUCAUGGUGUUUGACAUGGUUUUGUAUUUCAUGACAGGGAAUUUCUUGUCAUAGCUAUAUUCUUUCUUUAAAGAGAAAGAAUUGCAUGUGAUUAAACAAAUUGACAUGACGACCACAUGUUUUGAAUCUUGCAAAGAGAGGUUAGAAUACCUAAGUGUUCUUGCAAUUUCAAAGUGAUGAUUUUAUUGUGAUGUUAUGAACCUUGGGUGGUCAUGUGUAUUUUUAAAUAUGAUGGGCUGUGGAAUGGAUAUGAUAUUGACUUGCAAGUCAGGGUAUGACGAUACCCGGUGAUUAUGUGCCCAUAACAAGAUAAGUAUUGAAUGUUUUGAAAGUAUGAAGCAUGUUUGUUUUAAAGAACUAAAAAUUGGCUUAAGAGAGCUAGUAGGUUACCCGAAGAAGGCGUUUGAGUGUAAGGGCUCAUCGCUGGAAAUCGUAGUUGCCGAUGCAGGUCUUAUGAUAUUGUAUCCUACAUGGGAGGAUAAUAAAAUAAUUAAAACAUCUCACAUGGGGGGAUUCCUGCGGUGUACUCACAUGGGGGUAUCACCAGCUCUAAAUCCUGACAGCUACUUGGAUUGAAGGCUCGGUCGCCGAGUCAAGGGCGGGUUUCACAUAGCUCGUAGAAUUUCAAAUUUGUAGGGUGUACCAACUAGCUCAGAAGAAUAAUAAAGAGUGAGUCUAGGUUGUCAAGAACUGUUUUGAAAUUAUUAAAGUAUGCCCAUGUAUUUUACUUAUGUAUAUGAUCAUUGUUUUUUUAUGAAAUGCUCUCAUCUAUUUUGUAUAAAAACAUGUUAUUUUGAGUUGUUUCACAUACCAGUACAUGUGUAUUAACCCUUAUAUUUCAGAAUUCUGAGACACAGUCCUGGGGUCCCAUUAAGCAGUAGAUUGACUUGUCAGAAGUUUGCAAGUGGCAAAGGCAACUUCCACAUUUUGCAAGCAAAAAAUAAAAAGUAUAUAACUUGUUCAUCUUGCUGAUCUUGGUUGAAAUUCUGUUCGAUCUCGCUGCUGAAAUCUUGAAAAGCUUGGGUUCUCUUGCUGCUGAAGAAGUAGGAUCUAUUUAAGAAUUACGUGAUGAGCUUGAAAAUCUUUCUGCUACAGUUUCUUCCAUCCAAGCCAUACUCAUUGAUGCAGAGGAGCAGCAGGGGAGUAGCAACCUAGUGAGGGACUGGAUAAAAGGGCUUAAGAAAGUGUUCUUUGAAGCUGAUGAUCCCUUGGAUGACGUCGCCACUGAAGUUAAACAUUGAAAAUUGUUCAAUAAGGUAGGCAUCUUCUUCUCAAAAUCGAAUUCUAUAAUUUAUAAUCUUAAGAUUAGUCAUCGUCUCAAGGCUAUUCGACAAGAUCUAGAUGUAAUUACGAAAGAUAAGGCCUCCUUAAACCUAGUUGAAAGGAGGCAGCAACCUUUGCUUCGGGAGCCUUACUCAGUCCAAUUGAAUUUGGAUAGAGAGACUUAUUUAUUUGUGCCUAAAGGAGAAGUGAUUGGAAGGAGUUAUGAUAAAAAGAAAAUUGUGGAUUUUUUUUUUGGAUUCUGAGGUUGAAGAGAAUGUUGUGUCGUAUCAAUUGUUUGUCUUGGGGGAUAGUAAAGACCACUCUCGCACAAUGUGUGUACAAUGAUGAAAUGAUUAAAAAGAACUUCGAUAAAGCAUUGUGGGUUUGUGUUUCAGACAUAUUUGAAGUGAAAAUGAUUGCAGAAAAAAUCGUUGAAUCUGGGGGAGGGAAGAAGGAUAAUUACCUUCAACUAGAUACAGUGCAAAACAAGCUUAGGAAAAUGCUUGAUGGGAAGAAGUAUUUACUAGUGCUCGAUGAUGUGUGGAACGAAGAUCCCUUGAAAUAGUUGAACCUGAAGAAUAUGUUGAUCGGUGGAGCCAAGAGAAGUAAGAUCUUAGUGACUACUCGUUCAGACAUGGUGGCGGAAGUUUCAGGAUGUGUCCAUAAACAUAAAUUAGGAGACCUUUCAGAGGAAGAGGCAUGGACACUGUUUGAAAAAAUUGCAUUUGAAUACAAAGAGCACGAAAGUUUGAAUUUGGUGGAAAUAGGGAAGGAAAUUAUGAGAAAGUGUGGAGGAGCUCCUCUUGCAAUAAGGUCAGUAGGAUGCCUACUUCACCUCAAAAGAACAGAGGAUGAGUGGAUGUAUUUCAAGAAUCAAGAUUUGUCAAGUAUCACACGAGGAGGAAAUGAUGUAAUGGUCAUUUUGAGAUUGAGCUAUAAUUACCUUCCCCGGUAUUUAAAGAUAUGCUUCGCAUAUUGUUCCCUCUUUCCAAAGGAUUUCGAAAUUCAGAGAUUUGAUUUGGUCGAUAUGUGGAUUGCUCAAGGCUUUAUUAAACCAAUUUCUAGCAACAGAGAUAAUUUGGAGGAUGUUGCAAAUUCAUAUUUCGUGGAUUUGUUAAGAAGGUCAUUCUUUCAAGAAUAUGAUGCAUUUAUGCAAUUUUACAAAAUGCACGAUCUUAUACAUGAUCUCGUGAAAGAAGUUGCAGAUGGAGAGUUCUUUAGUAUCAUUAAAGCAGAAGAUACAAAGAUUGUCCCUGAUCAAACUUUCCAUGCUUCUUGCUUAUUUGAGACUGAUGGUUUAUCAGCAUUUCCCAAUUCAUUCAAUAGGAAGCAUAUGAAGUUGCGUACAUUUAUUUACCUAAACGAUUCUUCAUACAAUAUCAUGAGCAAUUCAAUUUUAGAGAGAGUGAUUUCAAGUUUUGCACAUCUGCGCGUCCUACAUCUACGUCACCUGCAGAUAAAAGUUAUGCCUCAAUCUUUAGGUGGACUGAAGCAUCUAAAGAUAUCUCUCUAUUUCUUCUUGGAGCAUUGUUACUUUUGUUACUUUACCAAAUACCAUAACAAAAUUGCAUAAUCUACAAAUUCUGAAGUUGGAUGGUUGCCAUAGACUCGAAAAGUUGCCAAGAGAUAUUUGGAGAUUGGUGAGCCUUCUACGUUUGAUAUGUCAAGGGUGUAGCUCAUUAACCCAUAUUCCGCCAUGACUUUCUGAGUUGACAAGUCUCAUGCAUUUGGAUUUCGAUGGUUGCUUAUCUCUGGAAGAUAUGCCAGCUGGAGUUGGUCAACUGACGUCUCUACGGACGUUGUCAAGUUUUAUCAUAGGCAAAGAGAGUUGCAUAUCUGGCCAGGCAAGUGACUGGUUGAAUGAACUGAAAGGCCUUGUUGAUCUCAGAAAUAGCUUAAGCAUUAAAUUCUUGGGACGUGUCUGUGCAAUUGGAGAAAGAACACCGACAGGUAUAGUGAAAAGGAUGAAGCAUCUUUGAUAGUUGAGUGUAGAGUUUGGAUAUGGAAAUCACGGGGAUGAUGAUACUGGAGAUGAUUUGAUGAUGUUGGAAGCCCUGGAGCCUCACCAAAACAUUGAAAGAUUGCGAAUAAAAAAUUACAGUGGGUCAUGGUUUCCAAGUUGGUUGAUGGUUGAGAAUCUUGGCCUUUCGCUGCCCAAGCUUGUUGAUCUACAUAUAGAAGAUUGCCAUAUAUGCCAAAAGCUUCCACCGCUAUGGAAAUUGUCUUCUCUCCGAAGUCUUGAACUACGGAAUCUGGGCGGACUUGAAGGUUAUGAUGUAAAAUUCAUGCAACCAUCAAAGACUCCUACAGAUGAACGCUACUACUUCUCUUCCUUAAAACAACUUGAACUGAAAGGAAUAAGUGAAAAGAAAGAGUUGACUGUAGAUUCUGUUGAAGGCCUAGCAACUAUGUAUGUGUUCAAGAAUCUCAUGUCGCUCCAAUCUUUGUCUAUUAAAAUCUGCAGAAAUUUGGUCUUUCUAUCCACAUGUCUAACUCAUCUCACUUCUCUAGAGACUUUAACUAUAGCAUAUUGCCCUGAACUCGACUUGUCCAACGAAGAGGAAAUGCAAUUUCAAGUCCCGGGGAACUUAUCAACUCUCAAUCUUUGGGAGCUUGAAAAGCUAACUUUGGCUCCGACAUUUCUCAGCUACUUUGAAAUAAAUAGACAUUUACAAUUGUCGUAACUUUGCAACAAUUCCAGAAUGGAUAGGCGACCUCGUUGCCCUUAAUCAGUUGGCGAUUUAUGAUUGUCCUAUGUUGACAUCCUUGCCAGAAGCCAUGCGAUCUCUCACAACAUUGCAAACGCUAUCUAUUACAUGGUGUUCAUGAAUCCUGAUGCGAAGAUGCGAGAAGGAAGUAGGAGGGGACUGGCCUAAGAUUGCUCACAUUCCAACUGUUGACAUACGAGGUAGGGGUAAUGAUUUACCUGGGAAGACUACAAAAUUCAGCUUCCCUCCAAAUACCAUAAAACCCAAUCAAGAUGUUAACUCUAACUCAUCUGCAUCUUUACAGUACCUCAGCAAUGAAGGAAAUAACCCUCACUCCAGUAACUCUCCCACCAUCUCACAGCCCAACCUCACGGUUGGAGAUGGUCCUGGUAGACAAAGCUGUUCUUCUAAACUUCAUGUUAGAACGGAACAAGAUAACUCUGAUCAGCCAAAAUCCAGCAUACCUAGCACAACUUAUGAUGGAAGGGAUGAAUCAAGGUCUGAGUUGUCUGGGUCAAAACAUAUGGAUGGUUGCGAUGCUAGACAACUCUCCCCUGACAUCGACCCAAUUUCUUGUUAGGUUGUGGAGUCUGAUUAAUAUGUGACGUACUAUUAUAUAGUAAUGUUUACGCGGUUCAUGCGACCCAAAUUUUAGGCUGUACCUUUUAUUCUCAUUCUCUGUGUAAUUGUACAUACUCCAAGUUAUUGAUAUAAAUAGCCUAUCCGCCGUGGAGGUUACCCACGGGUGUUACCACGAAA